rnacentral:rRNA from 1 species
GAUGAACGCUGGCGGCGUGCCUAAUACAUGCAAGUCGAGCGAACGGACGAGAAGCUUGCUUCUCUGAUGUUAGCGGCGGACGGGUGAGUAACACGUGGAUAACCUACCUAUAAGACUGGGAUAACUUCGGGAAACCGUAGCUAAUACCGGAUAAUAUUUUGAACCGCAUGGUUCAAAAGUGAAAGACGGUCUUGCUGUCACUUAUAGAUGGGUCCGCGCUGCAUUAGCUAGUUGGUAAGGUAACGGCUUACCAAGGCAACGAUGCAUAGCCGACCUGAGAGGGUGAUCGGCCACACUGGGACUGAGACACGGUCCAGACUCCUACGGGAGGCAGCAGUAGGGAAUCUUCCGCAAUGGGCGAAAGCCUGACGGAGCAACGCCGCGUGAGUGAUGAAGGUCUUCGGAUCGUAAAACUCUGUUAUUAGGGAAGAACAUAUGUGUAAGUAACUGUGCACAUCUUGACGGUACCUAAUCAGAAAGCCACGGCUAACUACGUG